AUGGUUAGCUCAUGCCACUCCAAAAAAGCACCAACCAUGAUCAUAAAACUCGACUUUCGGAAAGCUUUUGACUCGCUAUCCUGGGAUUCUCUCCUCACCAUUCUUCACACAUGUGGUUUUCCCACCAAAUUCUUCGCUUGGGUUGCUGAUCAGUUGACCUCUGGAAAAGCCGUUGUCAUGCUAAACAGGGUUCCUGGCGACUGGAUCAACUGCAAAAAUGGUCUUAGACAAGGCGACCCACUCUCUCCCUACUCAUUUAUCAUUGUAGCCGACUUGCUACAAUAA
rnacentral:rRNA from 1 species